AGUGAACGCUGGCGGUAGGCCUAACACAUGCAAGUCGAACGGCAGCACAGUAAGAGCUUGCUCUUACGGGUGGCGAGUGGCGGACGGGUGAGGAAUACAUCGGAAUCUACUUUUUCGUGGGGGAUAACGUAGGGAAACUUACGCUAAUACCGCAUACGACCUACGGGUGAAAGCAGGGGAUCUUCGGACCUUGCGCGAAUGAAUGAGCCGAUGUCGGAUUAGCUAGUUGGCGGGGUAAAGGCCCACCAAGGCGACGAUCCGUAGCUGGUCUGAGAGGAUGAUCAGCCACACUGGAACUGGGACACGGUCCAGACUCCUACGGGAGGCAGCAGUGGGAUAUAUUGGACAGUGGGCGCAAGCCUGAUCCAGCCAUACCGCGUGUGUGAAGAAGGCCUUCGGGUUGUAAAGCCCUUUUGUUGGGAAAGAAAAGCAGCAGGUUAAUACCCCGCUGUUCUGACGGUACCCAAAGAAUAAGCACCGGCUAACUUCGUG
rnacentral:rRNA from 1 species